GGACACAGCUCGCUCCUUCUCCUGGGAUUUCCGGAGGAGCUGUCGAAGGUUCUUCACCUCAUUCUGGUGCUUGGCUGUGAUUUGAGGUGUCUGGAGAUGAACUGUAUGUUGCAUGGGGAGCACUCGUCACUGUGGGACUCAUGAAGUUUCCAAGUGCCAUGCUUGCCUGCCUGCCUGCCUGCCAUGCCUGCCGUGCCUGUCAUGCCUGCCUGCUGCGCCUGCCCUGCCCUGCCUGCCUGCCUGGCUGGCAUGCCUGCUGUGCCUGCCUGCCUUGCCUGCCUGCCUGCCUGUCAUGCCUGCUGUGCCUGCCUGCCUGCCAUGCCUGCCUGCUGUGCCUGCCCUGCCUGCCUGCCUGCUUGCCUGCCUGCCUGCUGUAGUGCUCCUCACCCUGGUGGUCAUGGGUUCUAACUCACUGCAACUCUAAGCCCCCAAAUUAAAUGCUUCCUUUUAUAAGUUGCCUUGGUCACAGUGUCUUUACAUAGCAAUAGAAAAAUAACUAAAACACUGUGCUUGUGUGCACUAUAGAUUACUGUAUACAUCAUAUACUACUGAGGUCUUUUUUUUUUCUUCCAAACAGUAGUCGGCUACUGGCAGUUGUAGUUAUUCAUAUUUUAAAAAUUUAUGAUGUGUAUGGGUGUUUUGCAUGCAUCAUGUGUGAGCAUGAUGCCUUCAGAGGGUGUGGAAUCCUCUGAAACUGGAGUUACAGGUGGCUGUGAACUACCAUGUAAGUGCUGGGAAUUGAACCUGGGUCCUCUUCUAGAGCAGCCAGUGCUCCUAACCAUCCUAGUACCCACUGCAAUUAUUCUUAAUCUACAACUUGACUGUUUUUGUUUGUUUGUUUGUUUUGUUUUUUCAAGACAGGGUUUCUCUGUGUAGCCCUGGCUAUUCUAAAACUGCCUCUGUAGACUAGGCUGGCCUCAGACUCAGAGAUCCAUCUGCCCUGCCUUUGCCUCCUGAGUGCUGUUGAUUACAGGCAUGGGUUGGGGCAUGACUGGGGAGGGAGCUUCUAGGUUAGGUUCACUGAGGUGGCAAGAGCCAGCCUAGCUGUCGGCGGUACCGUCUUACAGGCUAGGGUUUGGGGUGGAUAAGGAGAGCACCUCAGGUCAUUUCUCUCUGCUGCCUGGUUGUAUGGGCCAUGACCAGAAGCCUCAUGUCCCUCACUGCUGCACGCCUUCCCCAGUAAGGACCAUCAAACUGGGAGCCAGAACAAACCUAUCUUCUCUUAAGCUGCUUUUGUUAGGAACACUGCAUUGCCUGGGAAGAGCUUGGCUGUGAUCGUCAGACAGCUGUGUUGAAGUGAGAUGUGAACGAGUUGUGUUUUAGCUGCCUGUUCUUGUUUCCUGGUGUUCCACGAAAAUAAAGUGGCAUUGCAUCAUGUGUUACUAUAAAUGAGUGUCAAAAGGAAGGGUCUCUAGGCAGACGGGCCGACUCUUGGUCUUACUUAGAUCUAAGCAGUGGCAUUGACUAUUUUACACAUGGUUCUCAGUUGGUCUCACGAUGUAAAAUAUUUCUCAUUAUUGGUUUUACAAUCAUAGCCCCUCCCCUGCUCCCCAGUGCUUAUGAUUCACCCAUGACCCAGUGAGAAAAGUUCUAGUACUGCACACUGAAGUUAUAACUAAUCCACAUAUAUACUUUAAAUGGUAAUGACUGGGUACGGUGAGGUGAGUGUAUUGCCUGUCCUGCCUGCAGGACUUGAAUGCUUUUUCUGCAGACUCCUGUACCAUAUGCCUUAGCAGGUGAGCUCAGGAGGAGCUCUGUUCUAGAUUCUAUGCAGGGAAGUGGGUUAGUGCUCAGCAUGCCUGGCUCAGCCUGCUGUGCUCAGCUCCCACAGCUAUGGUGGGAAAUACCAUCUCAGCGCAUUUCACUCCCGGGGAGAUUCCCUUCUUACUGCUUUCCUCCUGAGCACUGACCGCUCAGGAGCAUGUUGAGUGCUCAGACGUUACUCAUUUAGCUUGUAUGUUACUAUAUGUUUCACUAUGGCUGACAUGAUGAUGACUCUGUCUAAUAUUGUACCUUCAGAGUCCUGAAAAAUUCCUAGGGAUACUGAGUGCUCACUAAAUAUGAUCCAAAUAAGUUUCUUUUCAGAAGUUUCUGUGCUACCUUAAUUUCUGUAUGCAUGUCCAUUACUGUCGUGUUCUGACAAAACUUUUUACUACUGCUAAGCCCAGCUGAAAAUGUUCUCAGAGAACUCUUCCCCAGCAUGGAAAACAAACAAACAUCAUGUAAUGCUGAAGUAUCAAGCUGCUACGAGGAUAGAGAUAAAGAUACCGUCUGCCAGUAACUAAUAUUGUUCUUCAGGCAUUAGCCAGUGGAACCAGACAUGAGGAACAGGCUGGAGAGAAAGUUCUGCCAUUAAAGGCAAGGCUCACAACCAAAUCAUUGCACACAAGAAGAAAACCAAAGAUACUAAUGUUGGAAAAUGACAGGUAACUUACUGAUUAACUGCAGAAAAUACAAGUGUAUCCUUAGAAAACUUCAUAAGACACUAAGAAAGAUGGGGCUGUGGCAAUGGCUUAGUCGUACAAUGACUGUCACAGGAGCGUGAGAACCCGGGCUCUGAUUCCCAGUAAUCGUGUAAAAGGCUGGCCCUAUGGCUCACAAGAGGCAGGGGGAUCCGUGGGGCUUGGUGGCUAGACAGUCCAGCUGAGUUGGUGAGUCUAGCUGUUCAUGGAACAUCCUCUCUUAAAAAUUAAGGUGAUGAUGGGGCUGGAGAGGUGUUCACUGGCUAAGAGCAGUUGCUACUCUUGCCAAGGACUGGAGUCUAGGCUCAUAACUUCUUGUACUCCAGUUCCAGGGAUCUGAUAUCCUGUUUUGGUUUCCAUGAGUACCUGCGUUCAAAUGCACAUACCAAUGCACAUACAACUCAAAAAUAGAAAUUCCUUAAAAAUAAUCUGGCCCCCACACACAUGCACAUCCACAUGUAUCUGAAUAUGCACACAUGCACAGUCCCCCAAAAGAGCAUUAAAUAAAAGUAUAGGGUAUGAAAUGGAUAUAAAAUCCUUUCUACAUGUAAACUAAGAUGACCUAGAAAAUAGAUAUCUAUUUUCUAUGAAGAAAAUUUUAAGUCACUAAAAGAUUUAUAUAAACAUUUUGUUCUUACAUCAUAAUGACAAAGAUUCUAAAGGUGUAGCGGCCCCUAAUGUGAUUAACAUAAUCAAGGCAAAGCAUCAAGGCUACCUUUUGGGAACUGGACAAAAAUGAUACAAAA